AACGAACGCUGGCGGCAUGCCUAACACAUGCAAGUCGAACGAGACCUUCGGGUCUAGUGGCGCACGGGUGCGUAACGCGUGGGAACCUGCCCUUAGGUUCGGAAUAACUCCCCGAAAGGGGUGCUAAUACCGGAUAAUGUCUUCGGACCAAAGAUUUAUCGCCUUUGGAUGGGCCCGCGUUGGAUUAGCUAGUUGGUAGGGUAAAAGCCUACCAAGGCGACGAUCCAUAGCUGGUCUGAGAGGAUGAUCAGCCACACUGGGACUGAGACACGGCCCAGACUCCUACGGGAGGCAGCAGUGGGGAAUAUUGGACAAUGGGCGAAAGCCUGAUCCAGCAAUGCCGCGUGAGUGAUGAAGGCCUUAGGGUUGUAAAGCUCUUUUACCCGGGAUGAUAACGACAGUACCGGGAGAAUAAGCUCCGGCUAACUCCGU
rnacentral:rRNA from 1 species